rnacentral:rRNA from 1 species
UGGCGGACGGGUGAGUAAUGUCUGGGAAACUGCCUGAUGGAGGGGGAUAACUACUGGAAACGGUAGCUAAUACCGCAUAACGUCGCAAGACCAAAGAGGGGGACCUUCGGGCCUCUUGCCAUCGGAUGUGCCCAGAUGGGAUUAGCUAGUAGGUGGGGUAACGGCUCACCUAGGCGACGAUCCCUAGCUGGUCUGAGAGGAUGACCAGCCACACUGGAACUGAGACACGGUCCAGACUCCUACGGGAGGCAGCAUGG